rnacentral:rRNA from 1 species
CCCGGGUGGCAGCAGUUAGGAAUAUUGGGCAAUGGAGGAAACUCUGACCCAGCAACGCCGCGUGAAGGAAGAAGGUUUUCGGAUUGUAAACUUCUGAUCUGUGGGAAGAAGAAAGUGACGGUACCUUAGGAAUAAGCCUCGGCUAACUACGUGCCAGCAGCCGCGGUAAUACGUAGGAGGCGAGCGUUAUCCGGAAUGACUGGGCGUAAAGGGUGCGUAGGUGGUUUGACAAGUUGGUAGCGUAACUCCGAGGCUCAACCUCGGCACUACUACCAAAACUGUCGGACUUGAGUGCAGGAGGGGCAAUUGGAAUUCCUAGUGUAGCGGUGGAAUGCGCAGAUAUUAGGAGGAACACCGGUGGCGAAGGCGAAUUGCUGGACUGUAACUGACACUGAGGCACGAAAGCGUGGGGAGCAAACAGGAUUAGAUACCCGUGUAGUC